CUCUUCGGAUCUGUGUGCAUUGCAGUUUGAUGACAAAUAUCUUAAAAACGGUUAAUUUAAGCAACUAAUCAUAAGAAACCAUUUUUGUAGAGCAGAAAAUUUCCUAUGAAAUGGUAAGGUGCGCAUAUCAUAAUAAUUUGUUUUUAACGAGUUACAAAAUUCGUAAAAAAAAAGAAAUCGGUCUGAAAAUAAUCAAACUUCAACCUUCAAUAACUUCUGAACGGUGAGGUUGACAAAAAAAUUGUAAGAGACUUUUUUUGUAGGAAAUUCAAUUUCCUACAAAUAUAUGAGACGAGAUUUUCUUUUUCGAAUAGUAAAUACCGAGACAUAAAUUUUCUCUCUAAUAAUAGGAAAAAAACAAAUAACUGAGGGACGGAAGACUUUCCUAUUAAAAUUAAGAGCUCAUAUUUGGGGAU